rnacentral:lncRNA from 1 species
UUAUACUAAGUUUACUAGCAGUUGUGUAAGUGCUUUAAAAGGACUAGUAAUUUAACAGUAUUACUAGGAUUACUAGGUAUGUUAAUAUGCUUAUCUCUGGUUCAUAAUGAUGCUUGUUGUGAUUAAUUGAAUCUGCUUGCAUACAUGGAUUGAAACCGAAUUGAAAGCUGUUGCAUAUAGUCUUGUGGCUGUCUUACAUUGAAGCAUUAGAUUCAUGUCUAAAUGCUGAGUAAAGAAGCUUUAAAAAAAAAAAAAAAAAAAUGCCUAAGUAACUUGCAUAAACUGAAAAAGAAAAUGCUUGUGCUUAGAGAGAUUGCUUGCAAAGAUAGAACUUGAAAAUGACUUGUUUUAAUCUGUUGUAAUGCUUGUGAGAUUGGGAAUCAAACUUGAUGAUUAAUCAAGGAUUGAUCCCAAUACUCUUGUGUCUUAUCCUUGCUGGAGUUUGAGUGGUAUUUCAGGUUCACAAGAAGUGUUCUUUGCUCACCACCUAUCCAAGACAAGAGGAAGACUUGAACCAUUGUGUGGAGCAAUGGGAAGAUACUUGUGUGUAGAAGCUGGUUUAAGAAGCGCAGGCCACGAGGUUGUUGAGCUCCUGGUUCAAGACAUACAAGCGAAAGACCAACCAUUGUGUGGAGCAACGGGAAGGUUCUUGUGUGUAGAAGCCGGUUUAAGAAGCGCAGGCCACAAGGUUGUUGAGCUCCUGGUUCAAGACACACAAGAAGAAGAAGGUCACCAUCUAAGCCAUGAGGAAGGCUGGUGAUCUGAGGGUACUUGAAGCUGAAGGCAAAAGGGUGGAUCAGUGAUUUAAGCGCAGCUGUUAGGGUGAUGUGCUCCUGGUCUUGAAGUUCAUUGAGGCUCAUUUCAAGCUUGGAUCUCCCCAUUCUCGGUCUCAAGCUUGCGGUGGGAAUUCAAAUGACCAACCUGAAGUGCUAAAGUUCAAGACCUGUUUCCUCCUUAUCAUUACAAUAGAAUGAUAAAAUGAAGCCUGUUGCCAAAAUUCUGUGGGAAGUCCACAGCCUGCUCCAAAGAGGGUAGAGAGGAUGUUGUGACAAUGGAGAGAUGACUUGUGGUUCUGUCCAUGGUGGUUUAGUCACCAUAGCCUACACAUCAGAUGAGUGUAGAGAGGACAGUCGACAUACAAAGAAGAGCAUCACCAGGAGGGUGAUGCAAUUUAAACAAAGACCAUUGCAAGCUGAUCAUGGAGUGAUCCAGCCGAAGUAGAGGGAAGAAGAAAGCUACUCAAUAAGCCUCUGGUGUGAGAUGCUUGGAGAGUGAGCAUUGCAAGAGGUAUGGGCACACCAAGGAGAGGUGUUGGAUACUGAAUCCAAGCCUCAAACCUGCCAAGUUCAAGUGAACCGUGCCCAUGGAGGUUCAAGAGAUCAGCUCGGAUCUCUUGUUUGUAAGCAAACCUCCUAACCCUUAAUAAGAGCUUGUGUCUUUAUUUAUUGUGUAGAAUUGAGUAGAAUGUCUAUACUGCUUGCAUCAUGUUUGAAAAGCUGUUUUGCAUGCAUAAGCAUGUCUCAUAUUGUCUAAGUUCAAUCCGAGUGUGUACUGUUGCUAAUGUUUAUGUUUAAUCCAUCAAUGAAAGUCUAGCAUCAAUUAGAAAUUGUUUAAGUUGCUUGCAUCAUUGGUCUUGAUUGAAACUGCUGUGCAUAGCUUUCAUAUGUCUCAUGGAUUGAACCUGUUGCAUUCAUGUAGUUAAUGCUUUAAGAUUGUGCAUUCUUGUAUUGAUGCAUUUAAAAAUGAGCCUAAAUUGUCAAUGUAUUGUAUAAAGCUUGCAUUGUCAUUUUAGAGAUUGAAAACUGCUUGUUCUUGCCUUAUUGAUUGGCUUGUUUCAAGGUUUAUAUAUUGCUGUGACAUUGGUGAUCAAACAGGAUAAAUUAUCUUGGUUUGAUCCCAAUGGGAUGAUCUGAUCUUGCAUUGAGUUGUGGUGGUGUUAGGUACACAAGGAAAGUGAUACAUGUAACUCACCAACAGCCAAGAAUGUAGAGACAAAGGUCUUGUGCCAUUGCAUAUCAUCACUAGGACAUGUUAGUCCAUAAUCUACAGGAAGUGUAGUGUGAUUGAUUAUGCAAUGAGAGAUGGCCAUUGCAUAAUACCAUUGGACAUAUACAGUCCAAAGACUACAGGAAGUGUAGCAUGGGUCAUUAUGCAAUGAGAAGUGUGUCUUGUGAGUCUCUCUAUGGUGAUUCAAACACCCUAGUUCCUGGUUAAGGAAGAUAGUUAACUCACAAGAAGAAAGCUAUCAUGAAAGACUGAUAGUUAUAGACCAUGGAGAUGCAUAGGAUCAUCACAAGCUUAGCUCCUUCUAGUCUCGGUUCUAAGCUUGAGGGGGAGUCUUAAUGCAUAUGAUCCAUGGUCAGUAACAAGUCUUUUGCAAAAGCUUCUACAAGGAUCAUCAACCGGACCAAGUCAGUGGCGUGUCUAGGCAAGAGGCUGUUCAGAGCAGCCUUGGCAAGUGAGGAAGAAGGCUCUCCAUCAAUGCGGCUUCAAUGAGAGGUGAUUGAGGAGAAGCUGAUGAAUCCAUUCUGCCUUUCCAAGAAGUUGAUGAUGCCAUGAAGAUGGUACAUUGGUCGAGUUUGGAAACUCACAAAAACACAAGGGAAGUUCCCUUAGACUUUUAAAACUCCUUUCAAUCUUUUUCAUUCAUCUUAUUCAUUGCUUGUGCUUGAAAAGAUACUUAAGAUGAUUAUGAUUGAAUUGUGAGAUUGUGUGCAUCAAAUGUGAUGCAGGAUAUUCAUUUUCUUGUUUUUGAUAGGUACUGAUGCACCUUUGGGAUAAUGUAUCAGGUACCAUGGCUUGAGCCUCACUAAAGAUGUUCCUGGUCAGUUCCUAGCUUCUCUAAGAUGGCUGAGAAGUCUGUUGAGAGGGGGAGAUCCAAACCAGUCCUAUGAAGAGGGCAAGCCGUGUGUGAAGUGUUGAUCAGCCUCACUAGUGUUGUGAAGAUGAUCUGGUCGUGUCCUAGCUUCUCUAAGAAGGCUGUGAAGUCAGUUGAGAGGGGGAGACUUCAAACCAGUUCCAUGAAGAGGUGAAGCUGAGUUGUUGAGUGCGCAAAGUCUUGACGAGUUGCUGCACCAGUUUAGGCCGUGAUCCAGAACUUCUUGUGUCCAACCACACUGGUUCUAAGGCACAAGAGUUCACUGGCUAAUCCCUAGGCUUUGGAGAGCUCUACUCUUUUUCCCUUGCAAGGUUUUGUCCCAAUGGGUUUUCCUUGUAAGGUUUUUAAUGAGGGAGACUCUUCAGAGUUCCAAGCUUGGCUUAGGAUCUCCUAAAGUCAAGCUUGAGGGGGAGUGUUGAACUGAAGAGAAGAUAGAGCUUGUACAAUAAUAGGGCAAGCUCUAGAAGAUGUCCAGAAGAGUUCAAUCAAGCUUCAGAGGUGUUCUGAAGUAGUUAUCUUGUGAAGUUAAGUCUAGGAAAGACUUAGACUGAUCAUGUGAAGGCUGUGAAGGAGUUAGAGAGAAGAUGGAAGUAUGGUGCAAAGAUAGGGCGUUCAGUACGGGCUUGUACGGUCUAGGGUGAGCCAUGAAGAUGUCUAGUGCAACCAAGAAGGAAGAUAGGGCAAUGUACAAAGAUAGGGCGAGUGGUACGGACAGGAGGUCCGUACCAUCGACCGUACAGUCCACUCCUCACGCCCAUGUCAUCCGGUUAACCCCAAAUCUUGAUGUGCAAUGUGUGGGCGGUUCAAUCUGAUCUUAAGUGACCGUUUGGGAUACUUGGAGGGAAAGGAAGAUUCAAAUGGAUAAGGUGAGCUGUUGGUAUGAGCUGGAAAGGUAAAGGUGCUUUACCUUUACAGCCUUGACUCAUCUUAUCCAUCCAAUUCAAAUGAAGCAAUCUGAGCCCUUUACCUUGAGUCAAAUCGCCAGCUAGCUCCAGCAACAUCAAGACCAGUCUUCUCUCAUCCUCACCAUCCAUUUUAUCUUGUAUUUACAGCCUUAGGAUCUAGGUUUGUGAUCUGAGUGUGUAAAGGCAUAUAUAAGCCUCUUAUCAUCAUUUUGUAAUCUCUUAAGUGAGUAAGGGGGAUUUCCCCUCUCCACUUCAUGAAUGAUAAACUGUUCUUGAAUCUAAAACCCUAAUCUCUAAUCUCUUAUUCUCCUAAUCUCUCAGUCUCUUAAUCUCUGUUCCUAAGUCUCUUAUUCUCUCAUAAACACUCUCACCAAUCUCUCUUUCUAAAUUACCUAGAGCAAGCUCUCAUCUUUCUCCAUUGGAGUUUAUACACACACAUACAACCAGAGAAGAGAACUCUACAAAUCUCAUAUGGUAUCAGAGCCAGGUUCAUCAGAACCUGAGCUGAAGCUUCCGCAAGUCCACAGCUCACGCCUCAGCUCAAAACCAAACCCCUUUGACGCCAUUGAUGCUUUCCCAUCCAGUUCAGUCCCUUAUGAAGAAGAAGGCUGAAGCUUGGCGAGUUCCCUUGGUUCCUCAUCCUGUUCUCUACUUGCUCAGAUGGAGAUUAUCCUUGGAGGCAAAGGUGUAUGGAGAGGCCUAACUAACCUGACUCCAAAGCUCCUUGUCCAAGAGAAGUUUCACAUCAGGCUAAAAGAGUAUGGUGUCAAGAGCUUGGCGCCUAGAUGUUCUGAAGAAAGGAGGGAUCUUUUGAGUUGAUGGUACAAGAUGGUGGCCAUGAACUGAAGGAGAAGGAGGUGGGUGAUGAUCUAGACUCUCAGUUCCAACAACAGUCAUGGCCGGUUUCACAAAAUGCAAAAGGAAUCAACCUGGUUCCUUGUUGUAAGCGAUUCUAUAAACCAUCUUGAUAAUGAGCUUGUGUUGUUGACUGGUUGUGAUGUUGUGAUGUGAUUGAAAUCCUGAGGACUGUUUAAAAGAUUAUUAAAUGAAAUGAAUUUAGAAUCUGUCCCAGGAUGCUUAAAGAGCUUGGUUCCCUAGUAAUCCUUUCAUCGUACUAGUUAUACUAAGUUUACUAGCAGUUGUGUAAGUGCUUUAAAAGGACUAGUAAUUUAACAGUAUUACUAGGAUUACUAGGUAUGUUAAUAUGCUUAUCUCUGGUUCAUAAUGAUGCUUGUUGUGAUUAAUUGAAUCUGCUUGCAUACAUGGAUUGAAACCGAAUUGAAAGCUGUUGCAUAUAGUCUUGUGGCUGUCUUACAUUGAAGCAUUAGAUUCAUGUCUAAAUGCUGAGUAAAGAAGCUUUAAAAAAAAAAAAAAAAAAAAUGCCUAAGUAACUUGCAUAAACUGAAAAAGAAAAUGCUUGUGCUUAGAGAGAUUGCUUGCAAAGAUAGAACUUGAAAAUGACUUGUUUUAAUCUGUUGUAAUGCUUGUGAGAUUGGGAAUCAAACUUGAUGAUUAAUCAAGGAUUGAUCCCAAUACUCUUGUGUCUUAUCCUUGCUGGAGUUUGAGUGGUAUUUCAGGUUCACAAGAAGUGUUCUUUGCUCACCACCUAUCCAAGACAAGAGGAAGACUUGAACCAUUGUGUGGAGCAAUGGGAAGAUACUUGUGUGUAGAAGCUGGUUUAAGAAGCGCAGGCCACGAGGUUGUUGAGCUCCUGGUUCAAGACAU